rnacentral:rRNA from 1 species
CGGCGCCACGAGUGGCAAUCGCGUUUAUUGGGCCUAAAGCGUCCGUAGCCGGUUCAGCAAAUCUUUUGUGAAAUCGUCAGGCUUAACUUGACGGAUUGCAGAAGACACUACUGAACUCGGGACUGGGAGGAGUCAGAAGUAUUUUGGGGGGACCGGUAAAAUGGUAUAAUCCCCAAAGGACUACCGAUGGCGAAGGCAUCUGACUAGAACAGAUCCGACGGUGAGGGACGAAAGCCAGGGGAGCGAACCGGAUUAGAUACCCUGGUAGUCC